CAGAUUCUCCUUUUCUGUCGCACAGAUACUUAAAGCCAUUCUUAGGAGAAGGUUUCUUGGGAAAUGAGGGUGGGUGGGGAAAGUUGCUUUCAGUAGGUCACGCACCAUCCAGGGCUCACAGGAUUGGGUUGAACUAAGUAGGAAACUAGUUGUGGGUUUUUUUUUUUUGGUUUAUUUUCUUAUUUUGGUAAUAUGUCCCUUAAAAAACCUUGCCAGCUGAAUUUUUUUCUGCUGAGUCAUUCAGUAUAUUUUUCUACUGCUUUAUCUGGUCUCUUUUGAAACAUCAGCAGCACUGGGGCUCCUUUCAUGAAUUUCUUAUCUGACUUCUGGUUGCUCUUGUAAUAGUCAAAUUUAAAAAGAACAAUGCUAAGCCUGUUGAGCUUGGUGAAUUUUGACUGAGCCAGACACUGCAGCUGGAUUUAAAAUAAAGAUUUUUUUUUUUAAAGUUAAGAAUAUGGACAUGUAAGAAUACAAGACAUGUAUUCAAAUCCCAAGCCUCAAACUGUAAACCAAUUUGCCAAUGGGAUCAGGUCACCGAGUCUUUCCCUUCAAACUCCACAUCAGCCCAGGUUUGCUUGAAACUCUGACAACCUGGCAUGAGACUUUGAAGUGCAAAACCUGCUCUCUUUUCGUCACAAUCCCUGUAAUGAAUUGAGGUAUACAAAGCUGGUCAUACAAUACGUAUCAGCAGCGCGCGGAGAAAGACUCUUAGGGAAGAGUUUCCAUAGAAACACUGACGUCCUGCCCUGCUAACAGGACAUCGAGUUCCUUGA